AAACUCCUGUUUUAACGGUGUUGUCUGAGCUACAAGCAACGAAUUAAAACUUUCAACAACGGAUCUCUUGGUUCUGGCAUCGAUGAAGAACGCAGCGAAAUGCGAUAAGUAGUGUGAAUUGCAGAAUUCAGUGAAUCAUCGAAUCUUUGAACGCACAUUGCGCCCCUUGGUAUCCGAGGGGCAUGCCUGUUCGAGCGUCAUUU
rnacentral:rRNA from 1 species